rnacentral:rRNA from 1 species
UACGAGGGGGGCAAAUGUUGUUCGGAAUCACUGGGCGUAAAGGGAGCGUAGGCGGGUUUCUAAGUCAGGUGUUUAAUCCCGGGGCCCAACCCCGGACAGGCACUUGAAACUGGGAAUCUUGAAUAGUGGAGAGGUCAGUGGAAUUGGGGUGUAGCGGUGGAAUGCGUAGAGAUCCCAAGAACACCAGUUGCGAAGGCGGCUGACUGGACACAUAUUGACGCUGAGGCUCGAAAGCAUGGGGAGCAAACAGG